rnacentral:rRNA from 1 species
GCCAGAACCAUAUCACCUCUCACCUGGUAUCCCACUGAAGCUAAGCAGGGUUGAGCUUGGCCAGUACCUGGAUGGGAAACCUCUUGGGGAAAACUAAGGUUGCUGCUU